UGCGAGUGGAUGAAUAUUCCUGAUCAUUCACUAAUUACUUUGAGAUCUAUGUAGAAAGAUGAAUAAUUUAGAUCGACACAAUUGCUUUGAAAUUUGUGUAGAUAGAUUAAUAAUCUAGAUCUAUGCAAAUGGAUGGAUAAUCUUGGCCAUGCACCAGUCACUUUGAAAUCUGCACAUAUGGAUGAGUAAAAAAGUUUGGAGAACUUUGAGAUCUG
rnacentral:lncRNA from 1 species